AUUGAACGCUGGCGGCAUGCCUUACACAUGCAAGUCGAACGGUAACGGGCCUUCGGGUGCCGACGCGUGGCGAACGGGUGAGUAAUACAUCGGAACGUGCCCGAUCGUGGGGGAUAACGAGGCGAAAGCUUUGCUAAUACCGCAUACGAUCUACGGAUGAAAGCAGGGGACCGCAAGGCCUUGCGCGGACGGAGCGGCCGAUGGCAGCUUAGGUAGUUGGUGGGAUAAAAGCUUACCAAGCCGACGAUCUGUAGCUGGUCUGAGAGGAUGAUCAGCCACACUGGGACUGAGACACGGCCCAGACUCCUACGGGAGGCAGCAGUGGGGAAUUUUGGACAAUGGGCGCAAGCCUGAUCCAGCCAUGCCGCGUGCAGGAUGAAGGCCUUCGGGUUGUAAACUGCUUUUGUACGGAACGAAAAGCCUUCUUUUAAUACAGGAGGGUCAUGACGGUACCGUAAGAAUAAGCACCGGCUAACUACGUG
rnacentral:rRNA from 1 species